AAUAACUAGCUUGCAUACCUUGUCUUGAAUUUUGCACUCCAACUGGAACACAUUAUACCGCUGCCCCUUUACUUCAAUAUGAGGACCAUCACUCUUUGUUUCUUGGGAUAGCAAAGAUAAACCAUGAUUUGGAGCAUCAUCAUCAAUAUCAGGGUAGCCAUCACAAGCACGGGCAUCAUAAAUAGAUUCAUUUGCUAACUUUUCAUAAAGACUAUCAGAAAUAAAGCCCCGUUUUGUCAUCAAUACCUUCUUUUGAUUAGGACAAUCCUUUCUAAGAUGUCCUCUGCCCC
rnacentral:lncRNA from 1 species